AUUGAACGCUGGCGGCAGGCUUAACACAUGCAAGUCGAGCGGAGAUGAGGUGCUUGCACCUUAUCUUAGCGGCGGACGGGUGAGUAAUGCUUAGGAAUCUGCCUAUUAGUGGGGGACAACAUUCCGAAAGGAAUGCUAAUACCGCAUACGUCCUACGGGAGAAAGCAGGGGAUCUUCGGACCUUGCGCUAAUAGAUGAGCCUAAGUCGGAUUAGCUAGUUGGUGGGGUAAAGGCCUACCAAGGCGACGAUCUGUAGCGGGUCUGAGAGGAUGAUCCGCCACACUGGGACUGAGACACGGCCCAGACUCCUACGGGAGGCAGCAGUGGGGAAUAUUGGACAAUGGGGGGAACCCUGAUCCAGCCAUGCCGCGUGUGUGAAGAAGGCCUUAUGGUUGUAAAGCACUUUAAGCGAGGAGGAGGCUACUGAGACUAGUACUCUUGGAUAGUGGACGUUACUCGCAGAAUAAGCACCGGCUAACUCUGUGCCAGCCGCCGCAGUAAUAC
rnacentral:rRNA from 1 species